GGUGAAGGACCUGUUGAUGAACAUGGGGAGUAGAGGGUGAAGGACCUGCAGGGAGGUUACUGAUAGGGCAUGUGGGAAGUUGGGGAUAAAUCAGAAAAUGUGUUGUGCCGUUGAUGGUUGGGGUACUGGUUGAAGGGGUAAAUGUGGAGGAACAGUGCGGCAAAUCAUAGAAACGGGAGAUUCUGCAGAUCCUGAGCAACGCACACAAAAUGCUGGAGAAACUGCAUGGAACGCUACAUAAACAGUCAACCUUUCAUCAAGAAGGGAAAGGAAAAGUCCAGAAACCAGAAUUGGCACAGAGCGGCAGACAGUUUGGUGGUUUUGACAGUUGUCUGUGAGGGUUUGUUGAGGGAGUGGUGGUAUGUUAGGGAAGGUGUUGCGUUGGUGAGGGGAGCGGAUGGGCUCUGGGUGGUCGGUUGGGGGAGCGAACGGCGCGUUUGGCGAGUGACUAGGGCAGAGGAGUUGGUGGUGUGUUGUGGAGAGGACUGGGUGAGGUCGGGGAGGGAUGCAGGUGGCGAGGGCACUGGGGAAGAGUGAGCGGGGGAGAGGACCUUUCGCUCCGCGGCCCCCUCCCGUUGUCCUUCCCGCCCAGGUCGGGAGGCGGUGCAAGAGCCGCGCCCGGGAAGUGCGGAGCUGAAACGCAGAGUUGUGCUGAAGUUCGGGAGAGCGGCAGUGGACAGCGAUGAGUGGCUCCAGCCGCCGGGGCAGCGCGGUGAGCGGCGUCGAAGCCGGCCGGCCACCCUCGGUCUCCGCCGGCAGCUACUGGCAGGACCCGCUGGCCAUCGACAUCAGCCGCAGAGCCGUACCGGCGCCCCGGGUCCGCAGCAGGGCUGUCCGGGCGGUCUACGUGUGCAGCGAGCCGGGCGAUCCGCAGUCCGAGAGCAGCCUGUCCCUCAAGUGCCUCCGGGAAGCGUGCGAAGAUGCACAAGCCGUGCUGGAGGUCGUGCCCUUCGGCCGGCUGGCGAUGGGCGAGACUGGAACCCUGGACUGCUUCUACAACGCAGAUGUGGCAGUGGUGGAGAUGACGGACCCGUACUGUCACUCCUCACUCUUCUAUCACCUUGGUGUGCGGGAGAGUUUCAGCAUGAUCAACAACGUCAUCCUUUGCUGCGAUAGCAAUCUGACAACGCUGCAGUCGCUGCAGGAGAUCGUUUGCCAGAAAAACAUGGGCUGCUGCGGGAACUACAUGUUUAUCCCCUACAUCGUGACGCCCACUGGGAAGCUCUUCUGCUGCGAAGCCAGCAUGAUAAAGGGUCUGACAGAGAUGUUCCAGCCGCACUUUAACCUUGAGACCCUGCUCGUGCCAUUGGUGGAUCGCCUGACUAAGCUGCUCGAGGAAACGCAAAUCAAUUCUUGCGAGUAUUUUCGGGAAACCAUUCGGAAUGACAUCCGCAAAGCAAGGGAGAUGUACAGCGGGCAGGAGCUUCGAAAGGCCCUGGCACAGAUACAACAGCGUCUGGACAGCGUUGAGCUGCUGAGCGCAGACAUAGUGGUGAACCUUAUGCUAUCGUACCGGGACGUGCAGGAUUUUGAUGCGACGAUCACACUGGUGGAGACCCUGCAGAACCUGCCGACCUGUAAGGUGGCUGAGCUACCCAACGUCAAGUUCCACUACUGCUUUGCACUCAACAGGAGGAACCAAGCUGGAGACCGAGAGAAGGCCCUCUCCGUGAUCCUGCCAGUGGUGGAGACCGGAACGCAGAUCUCAUCUGACCUUUACUGCCUCUGUGGGCGCAUAUACAAAGAUAUCUUCAUCACUUCCAACUUCACGGACUGUGAGAGUCGAGACAAGUCGUGUUACUGGUAUCGGAUGGCCUUCGAGCACGAGCCAACUCUACACUCGGGCAUUAAUGUUGCUGUGUUCCUCAUGGCAGCCGGGCAUCGGUUUGAAACGUCAACUGAUCUCCAGAAAAUAGGAGUCAAGCUGAGCAGCCUGCUGGGCCGGAAGGGAAGCCUGGAGAAGAUGCAGUUUUACUGGGAUGUCGGGUUUUACUUUGGGGCCUGCAUCUUGUUGAACGACCAAACCAAAAUCAUCCAGGCCUCAGAGAAGCUCUACAGGCUGAAUGCGCCCGUCUGGUACCUGGCGUCAGCAAUGGAAACGUACCUGCUCUACCGGCGCUUCAAAACCGACACCAGUGAGCCGCACAGUGUCAAACAGGAGCUGGUGGACUUCUGGAUGGAAUUCUUACUGUCGAUCUGCAGAAACAAAGCACCCGUGGAUAAUUUCCUGGUUCUCAUCCUGGAGCCAACCAAGAUCUUUCAGCCUGCACGUCUCCUUGUGAACACCAGUGACACAGACAAGGUUGUGAAGAUCUGUCACGUUUCACCCAGUGAGGAGAGCGGAAUCCACUCGUGGACCUUUAGCGCUACGUCGAUCCGUGGAGUGAGUGUCUCAAAGUUCAACGAGCGUUGUUGCUUCCUGUAUGUGUUGCACAACUCCGACGAUUUUCAGCUGUACUUUCCAUCAGAGCUGCAUUGCAAAAGGUUCUGUGAGCUGCUGAAUCCAUUCUCGGAUGAAAGCAAGACGACCAUAGACGAUGGGAUGAGACUGACGGAGGAGCCUUUGGAGUACAGCUAUGAAUUUGCGGAGAAUGGAGAACGGCUGAUUCUCGGGAAGGGAACAUACGGCGUGGUGUAUGCUGGCCGGGACCUCAGCAGACAAGUCCGCAUUGCAAUCAAAGAGAUUCCAGAAAGGGACAACAGGUACUCACAGCCUCUUCAUGAAGAAAUCGCUCUCCACAAGCGGCUGAAACACCGGAAUAUUGUCCAGUACCUGGGAUCGGUUAGUCAGGAUGGCUUCAUCAAAAUCUUCAUGGAGGAGGUCCCAGGAGGAAGCCUCUCUGCUCUGCUGCACUCCAAGUGGGGUCCACUGAAAGACAACGAAGCCACGAUUGUUUUCUACACAAAGCAGAUCCUGGAAGGACUGAAGUACCUGCAUGAGAAUCAGAUUGUGCACAGAGACAUUAAGGGGGAUAACGUACUAAUAAACACCUACAGUGGAGUGCUGAAGAUCUCAGACUUCGGGACGUCGAAGAGGCUCGCGGGAAUCAAUCCUUGCACGGAAACGUUCACAGGAACUCUGCAGUACAUGGCCCCCGAGAUCAUCGACAAGGGACCGCGAGGUUAUGGCAAACCUGCAGAUAUCUGGUCCUUGGCCUGUACCGUCAUUGAAAUGGCCACAGGAAAGCCGCCCUUCUUUGAACUGGGAGAGCCCCAGGCUGCCAUGUUUAAGGUGGGAAUGUUUAAGAUCCACCCAGAGAUUCCGGAGUCGAUGUCCCUGGAAGCAAAGACCUUCCUUCUGCACAGCUUUGAGCCCAACCCUGAUAAGCGGGCCACAGCCUCAGAGCUCCUCAAAGACCCGUUCCUGAACCGGAAGAAGAAGCCGCCCCCAAAGCCGGGUGAAUUUUACCACAGUCUGUCAGUCCCCACAGCAGGGCACAACAAGGAGGGGUCCGAGAUCCACCACCCUUUGGAUUUUAGACUCAUGCAACCAGCACUCUCACGGAGCUGCUCGAUUCCCGAGCUGCCCGUCAAGGGCAGCUCACCACAGCAGGAGUUCGUCAGUGUGCUUGAGGAACAGAUGGAUGACAUCCCUUCCUCGCCUGAAGAAAAUGCCUCCCUCUUCCUCUUGAAGAAGGACAGUGAGUGCAGGGCCACUCUCUUCAAGAUACUGACAGAGGACUGUGAAACGGUGGUCUGGAACAUUCUAGAAGCUCUGGCUCAGAUCUCCAACUGUAAGUUUACACGUGAACACAUCCGGCAUCUGGUCACCUGCUUGAAGAACUACAUUCGCUCUGCGGACCGCAAGUCCAUUAUAAGAGACAUGUCCUGCCUGAAGGCAGAGCUGCACCUUGACAAGGGAGCACUCAACGAAAUCCAGAUUGUCCUCUUCACCUUCCAGGAUGCUAUGAGAAAAGUUCUCCGGCAGCGCCAGAUUAGACCACACCUGAUGUUCGCUCUGGACAACAUCAUUCGCAAGGCCAUGCAGAUAACGUUUGCUGUUCUAAUCCCAGAGCUGAAGCUUCAGAUCGAGAGCUCAUCUGACCUGGAGCCAGAGGAACGAGGCACAGCUGACUUUCUGUGCAGUGGCAAUCUGAGUGAUGUGGGGGAGACGGAUGCGUUGGAGCUCCAGAACGAUGGCGCAGGGACCUCGGGCGUGAGCACACUCAGUCGCUCAGUGUCGUAUGAUUCCCAGCAGAACACCUGCCCUCGUAUCCUGCAGCUCAGCCGACUGAGGGCGGAAACAAAGCGACUCCUGGAAAACCUUGCAGAGAAAGAGUGCAAGUACCAACAACUACUGUUGCAACUUCUUCAUCAGAAAGAGCACAUCAUCGAGCUGCUGCGAGGGAGAUCAGAACCUGUGGGUGCCCAGUGCAGCUUCCAAUCAACACUUGUCGAUUCCAAAACUGAAGAACUCACAGAGUGGCUCCUAACAACACAAGUUGACCAACAGACAAUUGACAAGAUUAUAGCCGAUGGCUACACACUGCAGGAUCUUCUGAUCGAUGUUACAAAGGAUGACUUGAAAUAUACCCAAAUAAGAUAGUUCCAUCAUCGACAUGAAUGCCAGCGUUAUUCCGGCAUGCUUAGUACAUGAGCUGGAACUCCCCAGCUGCCGUGGUGGGAUUCAUACGAUCAGUGGUCCAGGUCUCUGUCUGCUAGGGGAGCAACUCAGCCAUCACGUGUGAGCGCUUUGUGUCCAGGCAUUAUCAGUGUGCUUCUGUGGGUUGCAGGGGUGGAAUGCUGUGCAGACUCUGGGCUGCCAUCAGUGCCCACAGGAUGAUGAAGGGGAUACAGACGGAACCAGGUACUUGCUGAACGACCUGCUAUGCUGUUGAAAAGCAGAUGCUGUUCAAGCGUAAUGGCACAACGCAGAAUGGACAGAUACAUCAGUGAAAAAACUUGCUGCUGCAACCUAACAGCGGUGAACUGAUCAAAGGACAGCUACAGUCUGCAUCUCCAGUAACUUUACCUCCAGCCGUUCACUUCCCACCAUUAGGAAGUGUUUGUAUCUGGGAUUGUUUAAGUUUUAAUGUGUCAGAUGUGGUUGAAUCCUCUUGUGCAACUGUUAAAGGACACGAUGUUCACAACUGACACAACUUCUGCUCCUGUCCAACACUCGUCCGGAUUCAUGGCGGACACGUAUGGUGGUGCAAUCAACAUGACAAUCAACCAUGUCACAAAAUAGAUGCUUGUGGUCUGAGAACAGUGCUGGGUGGGAAUAUUCACUGACAUCCAAAUCUCCCCCCCCCCCCC